rnacentral:rRNA from 1 species
UGGGGAAUAUUGCGCAAUGGGCGAAAGCCUGACGCAGCGACGCCGCGUGGAGGAUGAAGGUCUUCGGAUUGUAAACUUCUGUUAAGUGGGAAGAAAAGCUCAUUCUUAAUAAGGGUGAGUUCUGACUGUACCAUUAGAGAAAGCACUGGCUAAUCUCGUGCCAGCAGCCGCGGUAAUACGAGAGGUGCAAGCGUUAUUCGGAAUUACUGGGCGUAAAGGGUGCGUAGACGGCAUAUUAAGUCAACUGUUAAAUUCUCCGGCCUAACUGGAGGUCAGCGGUAGAUACUGAUGUGCUUGAGGAUGGAAGAGAGAGGUGGAAUUCUCGGAGUAGCGGUAAAAUGCGUAGAUCUCGAGAGGAACACCAAUGGCGAAAGCAGCUUCUUGGUCCAUAUCUGACGUUGAGGCACGAAAGCGUGGGGAGCAAACA